rnacentral:rRNA from 1 species
CCGACGGUGAGGGGUGAAAGCUGGGGGCACGAACCGGAUUAGAUACCCGGGUAGUCCCAGCCGUAAACGAUGCUCGCUAGGUGUCAGGUGCGGUGCGACCGCAUCUGGUGCCGCAGUGAAAACUUGAAGCGAGUCACCUGGGAAGUACGGUCGCAAGGCUGAAACUUAAAGGAAUUGGCGGGGGAGCACUACAACGGGUGGAGCCUGCGGUUCAAUUGGAUUCAACGCCGGAAAGCUUACCGGACUC